rnacentral:rRNA from 1 species
GACGACGCUGGCGGCGUGCCUAACACAUGCAAGUCGAACGGGGUUAUUAAGAAUAGUUUACUAUUUUAAUAACCUAGUGGCGAACGGGUGAGUAACGCGUGGGCAACCUACCCGCAAAUCUGGGAUAACUUCUCGAAAGGGGAGCUAAUACCGGAUGUGUUUAGGAAGUCGCAUGACUUUCUAAAUAAAGGUGGCGCAAGCUGCUGUUUGCGGAUGGGCCCGCGUCCCAUUAGCUAGUUGGUGAGAUAACAGCCCACCAAGGCGACGAUGGGUAGCCGGCCUGAGAGGGUGGCCGGCCACACUGGGACUGAGACACGGCCCAGACUCCUACGGGAGGCAGCAGUGGGGAAUAUUCCGCAAUGGGGGAAACCCUGACGGAGCAACGCCGCGUGAGCGAAGAAGGCCUUUGGGUUGUAAAGCUCUGUCUUCAGGGAAGAAACCUUAAGAGAGGAUAAUGCUCUUAAGCUGACGGUACCUGAGGAGGAAGCCCCGGCUAACUACGUG